GUGGGGAAUAUUGGACAAUGGGGGGAACCCUGAUCCAGCCAUGCCGCGUGUGUGAAGAAGGCCUUUUGGUUGUAAAGCACUUUAAGCGAGGAGGAGGCUACCGAGAUUAAUACUCUUGGAUAGUGGACGUUACUCGCAGAAUAAGCACCGGCUAACUCUGUGCCAGCAGCCGCGGUAAUACAGAGGGUGCAAGCGUUAAUCGGAUUUACUGGGCGUAAAGCGCGCGUAGGUGGCCAAUUAAGUCAAAUGUGAAAUCCCCGAGCUUAACUUGGGAAUUGCAUUCGAUACUGGUUGGCUAGAGUAUGGGAGAGGAUGGUAGAAUUCCAGGUGUAGCGGUGAAAUGCGUAGAGAUCUGGAGGAAUACCGAUGGCGAAGGCAGCCAUCUGGCCUAAUACUGACACUGAGGUGCGAAAGCAUGGGGAGCAAACAGGAUUAGAUACCCGUGUAGGCC
rnacentral:rRNA from 1 species